GAUGAACGCUGGCGGCGUGCCUAAUACAUGCAAGUCGAGCGAACGGACGAGAAGCUUGCGUCGCUGAUGUUAGCGGCGGACGGGAGAGUAACACGUGGAUAAUCCACCUAUAAGACUGGUAACACUUCGGGACACCGGCUCUAAUCGGAGAGAAUAUUCUGAACCGCAGGGUUCAAUAGUGAAAGACGGCGUUGCGGUCACGUAUAGAUGGUUCUGGGCUGGAUUAGCUAGUUGGUAAGGUAACGGGUUUCGAAGGCAACGAUGCGUAGCCGAAGUGAGGGGGUGGUCGGCCACACUGGAACGUAGACAGGGACCAUAGUACUGCGGGAGGGAGCAGUAGCGAAUCGUACGCAGUGGUCGAGAACCUGACGGAGCAAGGCCGAGUGAGUGGUGAAGAUCUUCGGAUCGUAAAACUCUGUUAUUAGGUAAGAACAGAUGUGUCAGUAACUGUGCACAUCUUGACGGUACCUAAUCAGAAAGCCACGGCUAACUACGUG
rnacentral:rRNA from 1 species